rnacentral:rRNA from 1 species
GACGAACGCUGGCGGCGUGCUUAACACAUGCAAGUCGAACGGAAAGGCCCUGCUUUUUUGCGCUGAUGGAGUGGCGAACGGGUACGUAUGACGUGUGUAUCCUGCCCUUCUUUUUGGGGUAACUUCAGGAAAGUGGGGCUAAGCUCGGACAGGAGUCCCUGUUCAAUGGUGUGGGUGGGAUCGUUGCGGCGGUCGGGGGUGGAUUAGCCGAUUAUGGACUUGUUGGUGGGGGAGUGGCUUACCAAGGCUUUGACGGGUCCCCGGCUUGGGAGGGUGGCCGGGCACAGUGGGACUAAGAGACGGCCCAGACGCCUACGGGAGGCAGCAGUGGGGAGUAUUGCACAAUGGGCGCAAGCCUGAUGCAGCAACGCCGCGUGCGGGAUGACGGCCUGCGGGGUGUAAAACGCUUUCGCCUGUGACGAAGCGUGAGUGACGGUAAUGGGUAAAGAAGCACCGGCUAACUACGUG